rnacentral:rRNA from 1 species
UUUUUUGCGAAACCUAUAUAAGUAGGUAAUUUAUAUAACAUCAUAGCAGGUACAGAACUGUAAUCUCAUACAAAUCUAAAAAAACAAAUUUUUUUUUUUGUAUAUAUUGAGGGGCCGUGAAGGCUUUAUCAGUGAGUAUUUGCACUCGGAAGGGUUAUGAUGAGUAUUGAAUAAUCAGACAUAGUACGAUAAGGUUGUAUGUCUAAAGGGAAACAGCCCAGAACAAGAGUUAAUAAGGUUCCAAAAUUAUUGUUAAGUGAAAAUAAGGAAGUAUUUAUCCAAUCCGCCCAGGAAAUAGGCUUAGAAGCGGCCAUUUUUUGAAGACCUCGUAACAGAGCACUGGUUAAGUAAACUAUUUAAAUAGUUUUUAUGGAUAAAAGCACCGAAAAUUUAACGGAUCUAAACAAUAUACCGAAACCUUGUCCAUAUUUAUAUAUAUAUAUAAUAAGUAUAUAUACUUAUGGGGUAGCGGAACAUAGGGUAAAUCUAGGAUUUUUUCUUUUUGAGACUUAAUAUAAGAUAACCCCAGAGAAAAUGCUGACAUGAGUAACGAAAAAGGGAAUAUUUCCCUCGCCUAAAGCUUAUGGUAUUUAAUUAAAGUAACGGCCUCUAAGUUUAUGAACCUAAAGGACUAAACGAUGAGAAAAUCUGUUACCAUUUAUAUUAAAUAACCUUUGUGCACAUUUUUUUUGUGCUAAAGUGUAGAGGGUUCUGGAAAAAUAUAAAUGGUUCAUGGUAGUAAUACUGUGUAAAUAGACCGUACCUAGAUACUACCUGCCAGUAA